ACAUAGUAAGGGCGACUGAAAUGUCACGAGCUCAGCAUGUGAAUCAGCGUUUGCUCUAGUGAGCGCUGAAUUGUGGUCUUACGGUUGUUGCGCCAAUUCGUCCAGACCAUGUUUUUUGGAAUAAAAUAGCACAGAGGGUGAAACUCCCGUUUGUCUGGUCACACGAAGCAAGAACUACUGAGUCGAGUUGUUUGGGAUUGCAGCUCAAAUGCGGUGGUAAAUUCCAUCUCAAGCUAAAUAUUGGUAGGAAACCGAUAGCGAACAAGUACCGUGAGGGAAAGAUGCAAAGAACUUUGAAAAGAGAGUGAAAGAGUACCUGAAAUUGCUGAAAAGGAAGCGAACGAAGCUAGUGAACGCUCUGUCAUACUUUCCUACUUGCUUGCAAGUCGGACGCUGUGGCAAGCCCUGUUCGAUUUGAUUGCUCCAUGUGAAAGCAGGCAAAGAAAAGACACCCAUUCUCU
rnacentral:rRNA from 1 species